AUUGAACGCUGGCGGCAGGCCUAACACAUGCAAGUCGAACGAGUGGCGGACGGGUGAGUAAUGUCUGGGAAACUGCCUGAUGGAGGGGGAUAACUACUGGGAACGGUAGCUACUACCGCAUACCAUCAGAUGUGCCCAGAUGGGAUUAGCUAGUGGGUGGGGUAACGGCUCACCAAGGCGACGAUCCGUAGCUGGUCUGAGAGGAUGACCAGCAACACUGGAACUGAGACACGGUCCAGACUCCUACGGGAGGCAGCAGUGGGGAAUAUUGGACAAUGGGCGAAAGCCUGAUCCAGCCAUGCCGCGUGUGUGAAGAAGGCCUUCGGGUUGUAAAGUACUUUCAGCGGGGAGGCAUUACCCGCAGAAGAAGCACCGGCUAACUCCGUGCCAGCAGCCGCGGUAAUAC
rnacentral:rRNA from 1 species